rnacentral:rRNA from 1 species
UACGUAGGGGGCAAGCGUUGUCCGGAAUUAUUGGGCGUAAAGCGCGCGCAGGCGGUGAUUUAAGUUUGGUGUUUAAGCCCGAGGCUCAACCUCGGUUCGCAUCGAAAACUGGGUCACUUGAGUGUAGGAGAGGAAAGUGGAAUUCCACGUGUAGCGGUGAAAUGCGUAGAGAUGUGGAGGAACACCAGUGGCGAAGGCGACUUUCUGGCCUAUAACUGACGCUGAGGCGCGAAAGCGUGGGGAGCAAACA